GCGUAAGCUGGCUGGCUUAUCAAUCACUGCCAUAACAUUUGAAAGCAUGGAGUCGAGAAAAACACAUUGAUUAGAAAUAUCAAUUACUCAAUGCUGAUAUAAGCCUAGAGGCAGUUGAUUGAUUUAAUCUAUCUGCAGAACUACUGGCUAACGUAGCAUUGGCUACGUUGUAUUACUGGAGUAUUUUCAAACAUUUUCAAGACAUGGCUACAUCAUCAAGGUACGAAGUAAGAAGUUUAAUAAUGUUGAGAGAAACUCAAAAGGAUAUGAUUAGCCCAAUCUACGUUUAGCUUUAAAAUAUUUAUUUUUUUGACGCAAUCAUUGGACUCAAUAAAUGAACAUUUGAAAGAAACCAUCGGGGAUACUUUAUUAGCAGACGUCUAAUAAAAAAAAAUGGAAUGCAUUUAAAAAGAGAUAGUGUCGUUAGGAUGAUUCAAAUGACAGCAACCUUGAACGUUUCAUUGCAAUGUAAUACAACAAAUCCGGGCUCUAUGACUAUACCUAAUUUAGAAUGGAUCCAAUAUUUGGCUUGCCAUGUAUAACGGAGUCCAAAGCCAUGGACUCGGCCCGAACUCGAAAUCAAUGUCAGGAGAAAAAACUGGCUGAGAAAUUUUAUGAGUUAGAUUUAGAUAGGAAAUCAAGAUCUUGCAAAAUAUUAACAAAGAAAACGGCUGUAGAAGAUUUCAAGACAAGCAUUGAGCUAUCACCGCCUAGGCUACGCACUUUGCCAAUGGGACUAUCACGUGAAGAGAAAGAGCAGUACAAACAGUUACUUCGUAAUUCUAAUGGCGUUAGUAUGACAUUGUCUGAACUGGACAGAAAAUUGGCGGACAGAAGAUACAGAAGCAUUCAGAGUGUGCCGAAAUCCAAAGGUCAACAGGAGGUUAGUGCAACACAAAAUGAAGACAACAAUGAACAUUUAGUGGAUGUGGGAAAUUGGAACUCUUGUCUUACAAUCAAUCGCCAGAAGCAUGCGGCAAGAAACGCUUGGAGUAGAGUCACAUCAGAAGAUAUAAAGUUUAAACGAGAUGAUACAGCGAAAUCCAAAACGCCGACUUUAUCCGCCAAAAUAUACCAACGCUCUAGUAAAAAUUAAUUUUUGUGAGCUCAAGACUUUGUAGCAUAAGGCAACAAAAGGAGAAAUAGUUUUUAUCACAAAGUCAGUUCAAGAAGUGGACGAUGUACGAGUGAUUAGAAGAUAUCGUCAAUACAUUUUACAUAUGCAGCUCUAACACGAAACUCAUUUUUAAAAUUCACUUUGGCUACCAUUAUAAUCAUGUUGUUGUUGUUGUUUUCUCAAAUAAUAAUAUAUGAUGGGAUUAUAUUUACAUAAGAUGUGAAUGGGAUAGUUUAUUUAAAAACAAACUUUCAUUCGUUCCAAUAUUAUUAUUUGACUUUUGAAAUUGUCUAAAAGUGAAGAAACAAAGUCUUAGGAUUUGACACUAAUGAAAGAAACAUUGUGUCAUUAUUGAUAAUACAAAGCCUUUUUUUUUUAUUGGUAUCGAAAAAGAAACAUUGAACUUAAUGUUAAAAUCAAAUAUUACGCAUUGCAAGCAAAACGAACAAAUACAAUGCUUUCAAUUACCUUCAAAGUUUAGAUCUACACCAUUAUGAGUCAUGGCUUAUAAUGUACGUGAUAUUCAAAUCAUUGUUAUACUUCCUAUUAUUAUAAUUAUAUUCUUUCAUUAUAUCACUAAAAAAUGUACACAAUAUUUUUAGACAACUUACAUCAAG